UGCUCUCCCAGCAGAUAUCCUGUCUUAUAGCUCAAGCUGCUGUAACAGAAUACCACGGGCUGAAGCAACAGAUGCUUAGUUCUCACCGUUCUGGAGGCAGGAAGCCCUGGACCAAGAUCACCAAGAACGUGGAAUCCAUUUUGUGGAGACAGAUACUUUUAAUCAAAAACUGGAAGCAGAUGGAAUUUAUACAAUGAGGAAAGCAGACAGAGGAAGUGGAUCGGAAUGGUGACCACAGCUGCAGUCCGGCAGUGAGUUCCGGCAGAUCCCAACAGAAGGUGCUGAACUCCUUGGACUAGAUUAAGAGAAGAGAAAACUGCUUUGGAGUCUCAGAAAACCUGGCUUUGAAUGUGGGCGCUGCUAUUUGUGAAUUAUAUAAAUUUGAGCAAGUUACUUCUUUGGAGACUCAGUUACUUCAUCUAUGAACUGGGCACAAGAUUUUUGUGAAUUUUUGGAG
rnacentral:lncRNA from 1 species